rnacentral:rRNA from 1 species
UACGUAGGGUGCGAGCGUUAAUCGGAAUUACUGGGCGUAAAGUGUGCGCAGGCGGCCAUGCAAGUCGAGUGUGAAAGCCCCGAGCUUAACUUGGGAAUUGCGCUCGAAACUACUUGGCUGGAGUGUGGCAGAGGAAGGUGGAAUUCCAGGUGUAGCGGUGAAAUGCGUAGAGAUCUGGAGGAACACCGAUGGCGAAGGCAGCCUUCUGGGCCAACACUGACGCUCAUGCACGAAAGCGUGGGGAGCAAACAGG